rnacentral:rRNA from 1 species
GGAGGGAGCGAGCGUUGUUCGGAAUCACUGGGCGUAAAGGGCGCGUAGGCGGCCGAGUAAGUCGUGUGUGAAAGACCGGGGCUCAACUCCGUGUACUGCAUGCGAUACUGCCCGGCUAGAGAAAGGUAGAGGCGAGUGGAAUUCCCGGUGUAGCGGUGGAAUGCGUAGAUAUCGGGAAGAACACCUGUGGCGAAGGCGGCUCGCUGGGCCUUUUCUGACGCUGAAGUGCGAAAGCGUGGGGAGCAAACAGGAUUAGAUACCCUUGUAGUCCACGCCGUAAACGAUGGGCACUAGGCGUUGGGAGGAUUGACCCUCUCAGUGCCGUAGCUAACGCGUUAAGUGCCCCCGCCUGGGGAUACGGCCGCAAGGCUG